CAGUAGCCGCGGGAAUACGAAGGGUGCAAGCGUUAAUCGGAAUUACUGGGCGUAAAGCGUGCGUAGGCGGUGAGUUAAGUCAGAUGUGAAAUCCCCGAGCUUAACUUGGGAACUGCAUUUGAAACUGGCAAGCUAGAGUCUUGUAGAGGGGGGUAGAAUUCCAGGUGUAGCGGUGAAAUGCGUAGAGAUCUGGAGGAAUACCGGUGGCGAAGGCGGCCCCCUGGACAAAGACUGACGCUCAGGUGCGAAAGCGUGGGGAGCAAACAGGAUUAGAUACCCCUGUAGUCCCUGUCUCUUAUAA
rnacentral:rRNA from 1 species